AAAGUCCCUGACGACCAAGACCUAGCGAGUCAUGUUGUCCCCGAGUCAUGCGCAGUGCAUCGCGAGGUGCGCGGCGAAGCGUUGACAGGGGUGCGUGUAGGCCAGCCAUUGAGCCACGAAAUGUUUAUUCAGACCCGGGUGCCGACGCUGUUACUGGCGCGGAAGGCAACACGUGAGGGCGCACCAUCGCAAGUGCCCGCACGACCCGGCGGGGUCACAGACCC
rfam:Freshwater sediment metagenome lwFormaldehyde_C2238, whole genome shotgun sequence.